CAGAUGACAGAGACAAAUUUCUACUGCAAGAUGUAUGUAUCAAAGAAUCAAUGGCACUAUGCAGAAAAGGAAAGUUCGCUGAAAUUAAUAGUUGGAACAUCUUGAGUUGGAAAGAGUAAUCCCGGUGAAAGAACAAAAAUAAUUAUUGUAUCAAGUCACUGGAUUAAGACAACUUGCAUCAUUCUGAUAUAUUGAUGAUAUUGUACAGAAGAUAUGAUCGAAUUACGAUAAGAUGACAAGGCAGAACUAUUAUAAUUCAUUUUAUAAAACAUUUUAACUUUUAGUUAAUUUAAUUGAUCACGCCUAAUAGUUUGCAAGACAAUUAAGAGAAGAUAUACUGGAGUUUAGUUGAACAUCUUGCUGAAUAUUGAGACGGAAUGGCAGUGAAAGAAAAUAUUACAGCGAUAAGUUAUUGCAGCAUCAAGACAGCUUGCAUCAUUGUAAAAUAUUGAACUACAAUUGAUUUUUUCAUAUAUUUUAUGUACAUUUAAUAUAAAUUCAUAUUAUAUUAUGAUUUUGAUUGUAAAGUUUUUAUAAUAAAAAAUAUAAGCAAUGUG